rnacentral:rRNA from 1 species
AUACGUAGGGUGCAAGCGUUAAUCGGAAUUACUGGGCGUAAAGCGUGCGCAGGCGGUUUUGUAAGACAGAGGGGAAAUCCCCGGGCUCAACCUGGGAACUGCCUUUGUGACUGCAAGGCUAGAGUACGGCAGAGGGGGGUGGAAUUCCGAGUGUAGCAGUGAAAUGCCUAGGUAUGCGGAGGAACACCGAUGGCGAAGGCAAUCCCCUGAGCCUGGACUGACGCUCAUACACGAAAGCGUGGGGAGCAAUCAGGAUAAGAUACCCUGGUAGUCCACGCCCUAAACGAUGUCAACUGGUUGUUGGGUCUUCAGUGACUCAGUAACGAAGCUAACGCGUUAAGUUGACCGCCUGGGGAGUACGGUCGCAAGGUUGAAACUCAAAUGAAUUGACGGGG